GGUCGGCCAAAGAGAGAAAAGAGAAAAAAAGAAGAACAAAACCCUAGAGAGAAAAAUCCAAAGGGAAAUUGUUGAUUUUCAAGGAAUCAAGCCAUUAAAGGUAAAAUUUCUUAAUUCUAGCUUGUGAUCUACCUUACCUACACAUUAUUUUGCAUUUUCCAUGGUUGAAUCACAAGAUAUGAUGAAGGAUAGUGUGCUGAUCAAACCUUAGGAGAGAGAAUUUGAUGAUGAAUUGAGUUAGAAAACAUGUUAUUCUAGUGUUUUUAGUUGUUUGGUGAUGUGUAGUAUGAAAAGCAAGCAAGAAAAAUUCAUGUUCUUACAUCACCUUCAUUGGUCGAAUAUUCCAUGUGGAAUAUUGAUGAUGAAUUUGAUUGAAUUUCAAGUGAUUUGAUUAGGAAUGAAUGAUUUAUGGUGUGAGAAUCAAGUAUAAAAAAUUAUAUUGUUAGUGCACUCACCAUGGCUGAAUUUUUCAAGAGAAAAUGUGACGAUGAUUUUGCCACAUUUCAAGUUAUUUAAAUUGUGUUUAAUGAUUUGGAGUAUUGGGAGAGAAAUGGAAUUGUUUGGAGUUGAAUUGGACGUAUUGGCCAAUUAAUCGGGUGAUAGAUUGAAUUAGGCCAAUACCAUUUUAUUUAGGUACACAAUUGAAUUUAUAUUGAACACCGUAUUUAGAUAGUUACUCGAGUAUUUCAUAUCCCAUUUCAUGCAUUAGUAUAGAGCUUGAAUUAGUUUUACAACAGUUUAGCACAAAUGUAGCAAAUUGCUUAUUGUGCAUUAUGUCUAGGUGGUGAGCAUUCUGGCAAGAGUAAAGAGGUAGUAUCCGAGGAUCAAGAAUCAGAGUAUCCUGAAUUUGAUUCCCAUUAUAGUGAGUAACCUUAUUAUCAUCUUAAUUAUCUAAAGUAGUUUUUAUUCGUUUUUGUGAUUUGAUAGAAAAAUGAGUUUAAAGGGUAAAUCUUUAUGUUUUAUAAGAAAAAUGUGUUUAAAUGAAAUGAUUUUAUAAAUUGUUUUGAAAUUUAAUGAUGACUUGAAAAUGGAGUAAUUGGAGACUACUUGCUAUAUUGUAAAUUAUGUUUUGAAUUGAAUAGCUUAUGAUAAUGUGGGCAUGAAUGGUUGGAUGGGUAUUUGUGUUGAAAAUGUAUAAACUGUUGUUUGCCUUGAUAGGCUGGAUAAUGAUAAAAUUACCAUGUCAUGCUGUUGAAUUUUUAUUGAAUUAGUGGGUUAUAGAUUGGUCACUGCGGUGGCGGGUUCUGUGGACUAGCCUUUUUGAAGAGCACGGAAUCCAAGUAUAUUCUUACCUCGGUUGAGGAGGCGCGUAGGGUAACUUCUAAGGUAAAACUUUAGAGUUUACUUGAUGCCAAACCACCACGUGAGAUGAACUCAGCCAACGCCAAGGAACAGCUAUGUUUUCAAAACAAAAACAUGAUUUAUGCGUACAUGACUUUUUAACAGCCUUGGCGGAUUCGGUUGGGAUAGCCCCAGGCCAAGGUAUCCUUGAUAACUGAGUAUGAGAAUGAUUUUGGCAUGAGCCAAGCUUUCCAAGAAAUCAUAAGCCUCGUUGUUUAUUUGGGUGAAAUGAAUCUAUUUUAUCUUAUUAAAAUGAGUUCAAAUUGUUGUGAAUCAUUUGUAUGCUAAUCUAUUUUAUCUGUCUCCAUUUACUCAGUUUUAGAUAUUUUAGAUGAUAUUUGUUUACUCACUGGGAUUAUAUAAUCUCACCACCCUCAUUUCCACCCAUUUCAGGCUCAAGAUAGUCGGUAGAUAGCUCAUUUCAUUGAGGGCUACAAUUGGACUUGCAUCCUCAAAAACUGUAGGUUCAUAACCUUCAUUAAUUUUAGUCAUUCGGGAGCCCACAUGUCAUUGUUAAAUGUUUUGAAUACUUGGCUGCGUGUGCUACUCUAUGUAGGAAUUUAUUUUACUUUUACGUUAUAAAAAUUAUUUACGUAGCGUUUUAUAAAAAUUGUUUUAUGAAAAAUUGGAAUAUUUUAUUCAUUAUUUUUAUUUUAUUCCAUUA
rnacentral:lncRNA from 1 species